rnacentral:lncRNA from 1 species
UCCACUCCACCAGAGAAGAAAAAACCAACCAACGUCCAUCAAUGGCGUCGUGCAGCCAGCACCUCCUCUCAGCCGUCGCCAUCUUCUCCGUCCUGGCCGCCGCCGCCACCGCCACCAGUAUGUACACCUGCUACGAAGGGGUGGGCCUCCCCGUGGACCCGCUCCAGGGCUGCCACUACUACGUGACCUCGCAGACCUGCGGCUUCGUGCCGCUGCUCCCAAUUGAGGUGAUGAAGGACCGGUGCUGCCGGGAGCUGGCCGCCAUCUCGUCCAACUGCCGCUGCGAGGGGCUGCGCGUCUUCAUCGACCGGGCGUUCCCUCCCAGCCAAAGCCAAGGCGGUGGCCCCCCGCAGCCGCCGCUGGCACCU